rnacentral:rRNA from 1 species
AUGGUCGCCAAGGUCGAUGCAUACUUGGCGGGGUGGCGGGCGCGCCUUCUCUCCCCUGCGGGGCGUCUGGUCCUGAUAAAUGCGGUGCUAGACUCGCUCCCCAUGUAUGCUAUGGCGGCGGUUGUCCUUCCGCCGGCUGUCGUCAAGACCAUGAAUGCUCUCCACCGCGCCUUCUUGGGGAAUGCGGACGAUCGCGGCACGGGAGCACAAUGUUUGGUUGCUUGGAGCCAGGUCUGCAGGGCGAAGAGCAAGGGUGGUGUUGGGGUGCGGGAUCUCGCUACCCAGAACACGUGCUUGCUGCUCAGGAUGCUUCAUCGUCUCCACUCGUCGGCGUCCCGGUGGGCGUCCUGGGUCUGGGCGGAGCUGGAUGGGCGAUCCCUACUCCACCCUGGCAGCUGCCGCCUUGCCGGGGCGCAUGGGCGAUCUCUCCGUGGCCUGUUGCCGCUUUACCGCGCCAUGACCCGUGUGCGUGUGAAAGACGGCCAGAGAACCUCCUUCUGGCAUGACUGGUGGCUGCCUUGCGGCCCUCUGAGUGUUGCCUUCCCGGCUCUGCACUCGCAUACCACGUGCCCUGAGGCUACCGUGUCUCGUGUGUGGGAGUCCGGGCUCGACCAAAUCCUGGUCCCAAGGUUCACCGGGGCUGGCGCUAGGGAGCGCGCGACCCUCCUCGCCCUCCUCCCUGACGACCCCGCGACGCCGGGCGUGGACGAGAGGUCGAUGUCGCUCUGUGGGCAUCCGCGAACGGGUGGCCUGGUCACGAGCCAUGCCUACGCCCUGCUGCGUUUCGGCAGGCAUCUUUCGCCGCAUGCGGACUUCGUUUGGGGCGCGCGUGCGCUGUCGCGGGUGAAAUUCUUAUGCUGGUUGCUUGUCCACCAUCGGAUCAACACCCGAGAUGUCCUCCUUCGGAAAAGCAUUGUUGAUCGUGCGGGGGCUGGAUGCCCCGCCUGCUCUGCCGAGUUGGAAACUGCGGACCACCUGUUGUUUGGCUGCCCGUUCGCAAGCGCGUUCUGGCCCUCCGUGGGGGUCGCGGUGAUCGCGGCGAACAUCUCGGUGGAUCGGCUCCAUGCCUUCGACGUGAAGGCAGCUGUCGGAGGGGCCUCUCCUGACGCCUUUGUCCUCCUAUGCUGCUGGCACCUUUGGAAGCAUCAGAAUGGUGUGGUCUUUCAGGCUAUAGUGCCGUCCCUGGACCGGGUGCUAAGCUGUUGCCGCGAGGAUGCUGCUCUCUGGCGGGAACGGUUACGUCCAAACGAUCUCUCGCAUGUAAAUGCUUGGGUGAGUGCUUUGGUGCGGUGA